ACUGAGCUGACGAGUUUCAAAUAGGACGAAACGCGCGUCCUGGAU
rfam:Schistosoma haematobium scaffold1242_6, whole genome shotgun sequence.